CCAGAGAAUUUAGCAGAGAUGCUUUAGUGCCUUCGGGAACUCUGAGACAGGUGCUGCAUGGCUGUCGUCAGCUCGUGUUGUGAAAUGUUGGGUUAAGUCCCGCAACGAGCGCAACCCUUAUCCUUUGUUGCCAGCACGUAAUGGUGGGAACUCAAAGGAGACUGCCGGUGAUAAACCGGAGGAAGGUGGGGAUGACGUCAAGUCAUCAUGGCCCUUACGAGUAGGGCUACACACGUGCUACAAUGGCGCAUACAAAGAGAAGCGACCUCGCGAGAGCAAGCGGACCUCAUAAAGUGCGUCGUAGUCCGGAUUGGAGUCUGCAACUCGACUCCAUGAAGUCGGAAUCGCUAGUAAUCGUAAAUCAGAAUGUUACGGUGAAUACGUUCCCGGGCCUUGUACACACCGCCCGUCACACCAUGGGAGUGGGUUGCAAAAGAAGUAGAUAGCUUAACCUUCGGGAGGGCGUUUACCACUUUGUGAUUCAUGACUGGGGUGAAGUCGUAACAAGGUAAGCGUAGUGCU
rnacentral:rRNA from 1 species